GACGAACGCUGGCGGCGUGCUUAACACAUGCAAGUCGAGCGAGGCUCCUCCUUCGGGAGGAUGCCCUAGCGGCGAACGGGUGAGUAACACGUGGGCAACCUGCCCCUAGCACUGGGAUAACUCCGGGGAACCGGGGCUAAUACCGGAUACGACCUCCGAGGGCAUCCUCGGUGGUGGAAAGGAUUCUGGCUAGGGAUGGGCCCGCGGCCUAUCAGCUUGUUGGUGGGGUAACGGCCCACCAAGGCGACGACGGGUAGCCGGCCUGAGAGGGCGACCGGCCACACUGGGACUGAGACACGGCCCAGACUCCUACGGGAGGCAGCAGUGGGGAAUAUUGCACAAUGGGCGAAAGCCUGGUGCAGCGACGCCGCGUGAGGGACGACGGCCUUCGGUU
rnacentral:rRNA from 1 species